CAGCAGCCGCGGUAAUACGAAGGGUGCAAGCGUUACUCAAAAUUACUGGGCGUAAAGCGUGCGUAGGUGGUGGUUUAAGUCCGUUGUGAAAGCCCUGGGCUCAACCUGGGAAUUGCAGUGGAUACUGGAUCACUAAAGUGUGGUAGAGGAUAGUGGAAUUUCCGGUGUAGCAGUGAAAUGCGUAGAGAUCGGAAGGAACAUCUGUGGCGAAGGCGACUAUCUGGGCCAACACUGACACUGAGGCACGAAAGCGUGGGGAGCAAACAGGAUUAGAUACCCGCGUAGUCCCUGUCUCUUAUAC
rnacentral:rRNA from 1 species